rfam:Planctomycetes bacterium GWA2_40_7 gwa2_scaffold_34323, whole genome shotgun sequence.
GAGAGUAGGUCUCUCGGUUUCGGCGACCAGAAGUCGGAAUCAAACCGCCCUAUGCGGCAUUCAUUAAGAGUGCUUGUCGUGAGCGAUAAGGGAAAAGGCAAUCAGAGAAUUGUCAGGU